AAUGAUGGAAAACUGGCUUGAGACCAGGCCACUCAAAAGAAAAGCUUCAGAUACCAGGGAAAGAAAACACCUCCAGGACUGCUUGAUAAGAGGAAGCCGAGUCAUACUCGCAGCUGAUCGUUGAUGUGUCAUUCACUAGCCAUUGGAUUCCUUUGACUAUGGUGAUGUUUUAAAGACAUAAUCAUCUCUGCAGACUGCAGAAACAGUGAAGCGGCUAUGAUUAGAGGCUGUUGUGGCUCUUUUCCGCCUCUGUGAGCCGAGCCAACGGGAGGAGAGCUGGCAGGAACCCAGGCUGACUGAAUGGGGUCACAAUGAAGGGCCACAGAUUAAGGCAGCAAGGAGAUUAGAGGGUAGAGAACGAUGGACAUCUGCCCAGCCACUGCAGCAGCUGCAGCUCACAGUGUGCGAGACGCUUCCACGUUAGCAACAUCCUUGCUGCUAUGUCAGGUUGCCAAGGUUGUUUUCAGAGCCUUCUGUCAAAUAUUUUAUUGACAUGUAUUCUUUCUGUAACUUGGUUUUAUCUCAAUACUGUUCUUGUUUUGCAUAAAACUCUAUGUUACAAUAGUAACAUACAGUUACCUGUGUCAUCUCCUUUAUUGCUGU